AUUGAACGCUGGCGGCAUGCCUUACACAUGCAAGUCGAACGGCAGCACGGGGGCAACCCUGGUGGCGAGUGGCGAACGGGUGAGUAACAUAUCGGAACGUGCCCUGGAGUGGGGGAUAAC
rnacentral:rRNA from 1 species